GCCCCCAUAGUGUAGUUCGGCCAAGCAUAUGGGCUUCUCGAGCCCGAGACACGGGUUCGAAUCCCGUUGGGGGCA
rnacentral:tRNA from 1 species